GACGUAGGGUGCGAGCGUUGUCCGGAUUUAUUGGGCGUAAAGAGCUCGUAGGCGGCUCGUCGCGUCGACCGUGAAAACCCGCGGCUUAACUGCGGGCUUGCGGUUGAUACGGGCGGGCUAGAGUUCGGUAGGGGAGACUGGAAUUCCUGGUGUAGCGGUGAAAUGCGCAGAUAUCAGGAGGAACACUGGUGGCGAAGGCGGGUCUCUGGGCCGAUACUGACGCUGAGGAGCGAAAGCGUGGGGAGCGAACAGG
rnacentral:rRNA from 1 species